rnacentral:rRNA from 1 species
UACGAAGGGGGCUAGCGUUGCUCGGAAUCACUGGGCGUAAAGCGCACGUAGGCGGCUUUCUAAGUCAGGGGUGAAAUCCUGGAGCUCAACUCCAGAACUGCCUUUGAUACUGGGAAGCUCGAGUCCGGAAGAGGUGAGUGGAACUCCGAGUGUAGAGGUGAAAUUCGUAGAUAUUCGGAAGAACACCAGUGGCGAAGGCGGCCAACUGGUCCGGUUCUGACGCUGAGGCGCGAAAGCGUGGGGAGCAAACAGG